rnacentral:rRNA from 1 species
ACGAACGCUGGCGGCGUGCCUAACACAUGCAAGUCGAGCGGAGACAGUGAGUAGCUUGCUAUGAGCUGUUUUAGCGGCGGACGGGUGAGUAACGCGUGAGCAACCUUUCCCAGACAGGGGAAUAACACACCGAAAGGUGUACUAAUACCGCAUAAGACCACGGGAUCACAUGGUUCUGGGGUAAAAGAUUUAUCGGUUUGGGGUGGGCUCGCGUCCGAUUAGGUAGUUGGUGAGGUAACGGCCCACCAAGCCGACGAUCGGUAGCCGACCUGAGAGGGUGAUCGGCCACAUUGGGACUGAGACACGGCCCAAACUCCUACGGGAGGCAGCAGUGGGGAAUAUUGGGCAAUGGAGGAAACUCUGACCCAGCAACGCCGCGUGGAGGAAGAAGGUUUUCGGAUCGUAAACUCCUGUCCUUGGAGACGAGUAGAAGACGGUAUCCAAGGAGGAAGCCCCGGCUAACUACGUGCCAGCAGCCGCGGUAAUACGUAGGGGGCAAGCGUUGUCCGGAAUAAUUGGGCGUAAAGGGCGCGUAGGCGGCUCGGUAAGUCUGGAGUGAAAGUCCUGCUUUUAAGGUGGGAAUUGCUUUGGAUACUGUCGGGCUUGAGUGCAGGAGAGGUUAGUGGAAUUCCCAGUGUAGCGGUGAAAUGCGUAGAGAUUGGGAGGAACACCAGUGGCGAAGGCGACUAACUGGACUGUAACUGACGCUGAGGCGCGAAAGUGUGGGGAGCAAACAGGAUUAGAUACCCUGGUAGUCCACACUGUAAACGAUGAAUGCUAGGUGUAGGGGGUAUCGACCCCUUCUGUGCCGCAGUCAACACAAUAAGCAUUCCGCCUGGGGAGUACGGCCGCAAGGUUGAAACUCAAAGGAAUUGACGGGGGCCCGCACAAGCAGCGGAGCAUGUGGUUUAAUUCGACGCAACGCGAAGAACCUUACCAAGUCUUGACAUCCUUCUGACCGGAACUUAACCGUUCCUUCCCUUCGGGGCAGAAGUGACAGGUGGUGCAUGGUUGUCGUCAGCUCGUGUCGUGAGAUGUUGGGUUAAGUCCCGCAACGAGCGCAACCCUUAUCUUCAGUUACUAACGCGUGAAGGCGAGGACUCUGAAGAGACUGCCGGGGACAACUCGGAGGAAGGUGGGGACGACGUCAAAUCAUCAUGCCCCUUAUGACCUGGGCUACACACGUGCUACAAUGGCCACGACAGAGAGAAGCGAAAUCGCAAGGUAGAGCGGAACUCAAAAAAGUGGUCCCAGUUCGGAUUGUGGGCUGCAACCCGCCCACAUGAAGUCGGAGUUGCUAGUAAUCGCGGAUCAGCAUGCCGCGGUGAAUACGUUCCCGGGCCUUGUACACACCGCCCGUCACACCAUGGGAGUUGGGAGUGCCCAAAGCCGGUGAGGCAACCGCAAGGAGCCAGCCGUCUAAGGCAAGACCAAUGACUGGGGUG